rnacentral:misc_RNA from 1 species
AAGUCGUAACAAGGUUUCCGUAGGUGAACCUGCGGAAGGAUCAUUAAAGAAUUCGGCUUCGCGGCCAAGUUCUCACCCUUUGUAUACCGAAACUAUGUUGCUUUUGACAGGGCCCCCUGCAUUUUCUCGGGCCUGCCCAAGGUUUAAGCCCCUAGAAUCUCUGCUGUCUGAGUACUAUGCAAUAGUUAAAA